UACGUAGGGUGCGAGCGUUAAUCGGAAUUACUGGGCGUAAAGCGUGCGCAGGCGGUUCGUUAAGUCAGAUGUGAAAGCCCCGGGCUCAACCUGGGAACUGCAUUUGAAACUGGCGGGCUUGAGUAUGGCAGAGGGGGGUGGAAUUCCGCGUGUAGCGGUGAAAUGCGCAGAGAUCGGGAGGAACACCAAUGGCGAAAGCAGGUACCUGGACUAUUACUGACACUAAGCUGCGAAAGCUAGGGGAGCAAACAGG
rnacentral:rRNA from 1 species